AGUUGUUGCGGUUAAAAAGCUCGUAGUCGAAUCUGUGUCCCGCGCCGCCGGUUCAUCGUCCGCGGUGUUAACUGGCGUGCCGCGGGACGUCCUGCCGGUGGGCUUAGCUCGCAAGGGCGGCCCAACUCAAUCCCGCCGCGGUGCUCUUCACUGAGUGUCGAGGUGGGCCGGCACGUUUACUUUGAACAAAUUAGAGUGCUUAAAGCAGGCUAAAACUUCGCCUGAAUACUGUGUGCAUGGAAUAAUGGAAUAGGACCUCGGUUCUAUUUUGUUGGUUUUCGGAACCCCGAGGUAAUGAUUAAUAGGAACGGAUGGGGGCAUUCGUAUUGCGACGUUAGAGGA
rnacentral:rRNA from 1 species